rnacentral:rRNA from 1 species
UACGGAGGAUGCAAGCGUUAUCCGGAUUUAUUGGGUUUAAAGGGUGCGUAGGCGGAUUGAUAAGUUAGAGGUGAAAUGUCCGAGCUCAACUCGGGAACUGCCUCUAAUACUGUUGAUCUAGAGAGUAGAUGCGGUAGGCGGAAUGUAUGGUGUAGCGGUGAAAUGCUUAGAGAUCAUACAGAACACCGAUUGCGAAGGCAGCUUACCAAUCUAUAUCUGACGUUGAGGCACGAAAGCGUGGGGAGCAAACAGG